rnacentral:rRNA from 1 species
GACGAACGCUGGCGGCGUGCCUAAUACAUGCAAGUAGAACGCUGAAGCGAGGAGCUUACUCUUCUUGGAUGAGUUGCGAACGGGUGAGUAACGCGUAGGUAACCUGCCUUGUAGCGGGGGAUAACUAUUGGAAACGAUAGCUAAUACCGCAUAACAAUGGAUGACACAUGUCAUUUAUUUGAAAGGGGCAAUUGCUCCACUACAAGAUGGACCUGCGUUGUAUUAGCUAGUAGGUGAGGUAAUGGCUCACCUAGGCGACGAUACAUAGCCGACCUGAGAGGGUGAUCGGACACACUGGGACUGAGACACGGCCCAGACUCCUACGAGAGGCAGCAGUAGGGAAGCUUCGGCAAUGGGGGCAACCCUGACCGAGCAACGCCGCGUGAGUGAAGAAGGUUUUCGGAUCGUAAAGCUCUGUUGUAAGUCAAGAACGGGUGUGAGAGUGGAAAGUUCACACUGUGACGGUAGCUUACCAGAAAGGGACGGCUAACUACGUG